rnacentral:rRNA from 1 species
AACGAACGCUGGCGGCAGGCUUAACACAUGCAAGUCGAACGCCCCGCAAGGGGAGUGGCAGACGGGUGAGUAACGCGUGGGAAUCUACCCAGUUCUACGGAAUAACCCAGGGAAACUUGGACUAAUACCGUAUACGCCCUACGGGGGAAAGAUUUAUCGGAAUUGGAUGAGCCCGCGUUGGAUUAGCUAGUUGGUGGGGUAAUGGCCUACCAAGGCGACGAUCCACAGCUGGUCUGAGAGGAUGAUCAGCCACACUGGGACUGAGACACGGCCCAGACUCCUACGGGAGGCAGCGGUGGGGAAUAUUGGACAAUGGGCGCAAGCCUGAUCCAGCCAUGCCGCGUGAGUGAUGAAGGCCUUAGGGUUGUAAAGCUCUUUCAGUGGGGACGAUAAUGACGGUACCCACAGAAGAAGCCCCGGCUAACUUCGUGCCAGCCGCCGCAGUAAAAC